rnacentral:rRNA from 1 species
UACGUAGGGGCGAGCGUUGUCCGGAAUGAUUGGGCGUAAAGGGCGUGCAGGCGGUUUCGCAAGUCUGAUGUGAAAGGCACCGGCUCAACCGGUGAGGUGCAUUGGAAACUGCGGGACUUGAGUCCAGGAGAGGGGAGUGGAAUUCCACGUGUAGCGGUGAAAUGCGUAGAGAUGUGGAGGAACACCGGUGGCGAAGGCGGCUCUCUGGCCUGAGACUGACGCUGAGGCGCGAAAGCGUGGGGAGCGAACAGGAUUAGAUA